CGAACUGCGAUAAGUAAUGUGAAUUGCAGAAUUCAGUGAAUCAUCGAGUCUUUGAACGCACAUUGCGCCCCCUGGCAUUCCGGGGGGCAUGCCUGUCCGAGCGUCAUUGCUGCCCUUCAAGCCCGGCUUGUGUGUUGGGUCGUCGUCCCCUCCGGGGGACGGGCCCGAAAGGCAGCGGCGGCACCGCGUCCGGUCCUCGAGCGUAUGGGGCUUUGUCACCCGCUCGAUAGGGACCGGCCGGGCGCCAGCCGGCGUCUCCAACCUUUUUUUCUCAGGUUGACCUCGGAUCAGGUAGGGAUACCCGCUGAACUUAAGC
rnacentral:misc_RNA from 1 species